UACAGAGGUCUCAAGCGUUGUUCGGAUUCAUUGGGCGUAAAGGGUGCGUAGGUGGCGUGGUAAGUCGGGUGUGAAAUUUCGGAGCUUAACUCCGAAACUGCAUUCGAUACUGCUGUGCUUGAGGACUGGAGAGGAGACUGGAAUUCACGGUGUAGCAGUGAAAUGCGUAGAGAUCGUAAGGAAGACCAGUGGCGAAGGCGGGUCUCUGGACAGUUCCUGACACUGAGGCACGAAGGCCAGGGGAGGAAACGGG
rnacentral:rRNA from 1 species